rnacentral:rRNA from 1 species
AUUGAACGCUGGCGGCAGGCCUAACACAUGCAAGUCGAGCGAGCGGCGGACGGGUGAGUAAUGUAUGGGGAUCUGCCUGAUGGAGGGGGAUAACUACUGGAAACGGUGGCUAAUACCGCCUACUAUCGGAUGAACCCAGAUGGGAUUAGCUAGUAGGGGGGGUAAAGGCUCACCUAGGCGACGAUCACUAGCUGGUCUGAGAGGAUGAUCAGCCACACUGGAACUGAGACACGGUCCAGACUCCUACGGGAGGCAGCAGUGGGGAAUAUUGAACAAUGGGCGAAAGCCUGAUGCAGCCAUGCCGCGUGUGUGAAGAAGGCCUUAGGGUUGUAAAGCACUUUAAGCGGGGAGGCGUUACCCGCAGAAGAAGCACCGGCUAACUCCGUGCCAGCAGCCGCGGUAAUUC